rnacentral:sRNA from 1 species
AACGUGAGUCGCGCGGCCCCGCUCCGGGAAGGCGCCACGGCCUCGGCUUGGUUCAGCUGGGCUGGGUUCCCCAACCCGGCAACCCCUCCUCCAGGCAGCCUGCUGUGGGGCGGGGCGGUGGUCGGGCCGUGGGUCCCCAGGGGAGAAGGAGAGCAAGGCCUGUCUCUCCUUGGGAGACGACUCCCCCAAGGGCCAUUCCCCAUCCUCCGCCAGCCCCGGGAAGGACUCAGCCCCUUGACUCGGCGCCUCAGCCAGGCCCUGGUCAGGGGACACGACUUGGCCAGGCCCAGGGGAUCCUCCAGGUCUCACGCCAAGCCUUGCCCCCAGCCAGGAAGCCCGCGGUGAUCGGGCUGCUGGACGUAUUCACUCCUGAUGAGACCCUGGAUGACUUCACGGACUUCCGACCCCUCUGACCCAGAUGCCUUGCCGCGCCCCCAUCGCCCCCAAGCACCUCCCUCAUUUCUGGCACAAAGUUCUGAAGUUGAAACCUGACUGCCU